rnacentral:rRNA from 1 species
GCAUGUGGUUUAAUUCGAAGCAACGCGAAGAACCUUACCUAAGCUUGACAUCCCAAUGACAUCUCCUUAAUCGGAGAGUUCCCUUCGGGGACAUUGGUGACAGGUGGUGCAUGGUUGUCGUCAGCUCGUGUCGUGAGAUGUUGGGUUAAGUCCCGCAACGAGCGCAACCCUUGUCUUUAGUUGCCAUCAUUAAGUUGGGCACUCUAGAGAGACUGCCAGGGAUAACCUGGAGGAAGGUGGGGAUGACGUCAAAUCAUCAUGCCCCUUAUGCUUAGGGCUACACACGUGCUACAAUGGGUAGUACAGAGGGUUGCCAAGCCGUAAGGUGGAGCUAAUCCCUUAAAGCUACUCUCAGUUCGGAUUGUAGGCUGAAACUCGCCUACAUGAAGCUGGAGUUACUAGUAAUCGCAGAUCAGAAUGCUGCGGUGAAUGCGUUCCCGGGUCUUGUACACACCGCCCGUCACACCACGGGAGUUGGAGACGCCCGAAGCCGAUUAUCUAACC